GUGCUUGCUUCGGCAGCAUAUAUACUAAAAU
rnacentral:snRNA from 1 species